AGAGUUUGAUCAUGGCUCAGAACGAACGCUGGCGGCAUGCCUAACACAUGCAAGUCGAACGAAGGCUUCGGCCUUAGUGGCGCACGGGUGAGUAACACGUGGGAACCUGCCUCUUUGUUCGGAAUAACUGCGGGAAACUGCAGCUAAUACCGGAUACGCCCUACGGGGGGAAAGAUUUAUCGCAGAGAGAGGGGCCCGCGUCCGAUUAGGUAGUUGGUGGGGUAAAGGCCUACCAAGCCGACGAUCGGUAGCUGGUCUGAGAGGAUGAUCAGCCACACUGGGACUGAGACACGGCCCAGACUCCUACGGGAGGCAGCAGUGGGGAAUAUUGGACAAUGGGCGCAAGCCUGAUCCAGCAAUGCCGCGUGAAUGAUGAAGGCCUUAGGGUUGUAAAGUUCUUUCGUCGGGGACGAUGAUGACGGUACCCGAAGAAGAAGCCCCGGCUAACUUCGUGCCAGCAGCCGCGGUAAUACGAAGGGGGCUAGCGUUGCUCGGAAUUACUGGGCGUAAAGGGCGCGUAGGCGGCCAUUCAAGUUAGGCGUGAAAGCCCUGGGCUCAACCUAGGAAUUGCGCUUGAUACUGUCUGGCUUGAGUUCGGGAGAGGUGAGUGGAAUUCCCAGUGUAGAGGUGAAAUUCGUAGAUAUUGGGAAGAACACCAGUGGCGAAGGCGGCUCACUGGACCGACACUGACGCUGAGGCGCGAAAGCGUGGGGAGCAAACAGGAUUAGAUACCCCAGUAGUCC
rnacentral:rRNA from 1 species